AUAUAUCAUAUACAUGUAUAUCAGUUUACUUUAUAAGGCUGUUCCUAAAGACGGCAAGCUAAUUGUUAAAAAGCUAUACUUCUUAGCAUAUUUGAUUCUACUCGGCCAUUUCCGCAAGCGACAAAUAGUUAUUUGUCACUUGCGGAAAUGGUCGAGUAGAUACGACUGAGGUAGAAUUUACGAACAACAACAACAAAAAAAUCGCAGAGGGCUACAUUAUUGCAGUUACCUUAAAGUCUGAUUAAAAUCAGACCCCAUACUCAUUAUCAUAUCGUUGGGGUCUGACAGGGAUCGUAUAAAGGUCAUAUUCUGGUUACCUCUUCAUUAUCCAAUCAAAUCGUCACUUCCCCGACGCUGGAAGUCCAGGAACAGUACCACAGUUUGUUUGUCUUUUUCGGAACGCUUCCAAAUCGUCGUUCAUCAUAACCUCGCACUUAAUAACCGACGGUAACAGAAUGGCAAUGGCCGCUGCCAGUGUGAUUGACGCUCGAUUUUUGAUUACUGGUAUAUAUAUGUUUUAAUUUAUUUAUUAGAUAUUGUGAUUGAAGAUCGAUGUUUGAGUAUAUGUUCCCAAGCUUAACAUUACGGAUGCAGGUAUUCUAACACCUCGGCGCAUAUACUAUAAAGCAAAUAUAUGUGUGCUUUGUGGUUUCGCGUUUGUGCAAUCAGAGAUAACUUCAACAGUGGAAACGAUUGAAAGAAAUCUAUUUAAUAAAAAGCUGAAAUUAACAGACGAUAAAGUCAAAUAGCUCCAGCAAUGGUGUUUGUAAAAAUUGUUAUAGAACUGUUGAAAGGAUACGGUAAUUAAGAUAAAAAAGGAAGUGGAACAGCUACAAACAGAAAUACAUGUAUCAAGAUCCAGAUCAUCGGUUAGGACAAAAUACCAGUCGGCAACACCAUCCCCUACAAAAUCAAAAAUUGAAAAAAGACUGCGAAUAUCACCAGAAAAAAACUGUGAAAAGACCAUUUCCGUCAUCAUUUAAGAAAGUUACAGUUGUAAACAUUCCACCAAUACCAACAAUUUUGCCCAAAACGGAAAAGAAUGAGCCAGUAUGUAAGCCAGUGAGUGUAAGAAGAUCUCUGCCAAUUUCAACUGUUGAGAAUGUUCAAGAUAAGACAGAUAGUUCACUGAAAGGAGAAGUUGGAAAGUUAACAGAAGACUGAGGUGGAGGAACAUGAAGAACAGGGCGGCAGUCGUCAGGUGUAAGCAAAUCAUUUAUAGACAGGACAGAGGAUGAAACUCGCAUGAAUCUCCGGAAAGAACUGAUGACAUCGCAGAGAAUGUGGAAGUGCAUGGAUGUAAGGGACGACUUUGAUUUGUAAUUGUUGAACUGCGCAAUGAACGCUUCUUUUGACUCGAUAAAUUUCUGUGAUUGGUUUUCAACGACGCCUCGCUUCGAUGUCUCGAUAUAAACUUGGAAACCGACAUCACCUCACGGCUGCUGUGGCACGGAGGCAGUGCGAUUCCGCAUCACCGAUGACCAGGUUGUAGUUGUAGCAUACGAAAUUUUAGACAUGCAUUAGCAAGACAUCGUUUUACAGAAAUGCUUUUAUCAAUCAUUGAUGAAAGUCCACGGCUUGGAAUACAAAUAAAAUCAUAAAUACAUUU